CCUACGGGAGGCAGCAGUAGGGAAUUUUGCGCAAUGGGGGAAACCCUGACGCAGCAACGCCGCGUGAUCGAUGAAGCCCUUCGGGGUGUAAAGAUCUGUCAGUGGGGACGAAACCUGACGGUACCCACAGAGGAAGCACCGGCUAACUCCGUGCCAGCAGCCGCGGUAAUACGGGGGGGGCAAGCGUUGUCCGGAAUCAUGGGGCGUAAAGAUUUCGUAGGUGGCACGUUAGGUCUGGUGUUAAAGGCGGAAGCUCAACUUCCGUAGGGCACUGGAUACUGGCGAGCUGGAAUGCGGUAGAGGUAAAGGGAAUUCCUGGUGUAGCGGUGAAAUGCGUAGAUAUCAGGAGGAACACCAGUGGCGAAGGCGGCCUGCUGGACGAUGACUGACGUUGAGGCUCGAAAGCGUGGGGAGCAAACAGGAUUAGAUACCCGAGUAGUC
rnacentral:rRNA from 1 species